CGGACGGGUGAGUAAUGUCUGGGAAACUGCCCGAUGGAGGGGGAUAACUACUGGAAACGGUAGCUAAUACCGCAUAACGUCGCAAGACCAAAGAGGGGGACCUUCGGGCCUCUUGCCAUCGGAUGUGCCCAGAUGGGAUUAGCUUGUAGGUGAGGUAACGGCUCACCUAGGCGACGAUCCCUAGCUGGUCUGAGAGGAUGACCAGCCACACUGGAACUGAGACACGGUCCAG
rnacentral:rRNA from 1 species